CUCAGAGUUGAGGCCAAUGGCGGCUCCACCAUCCUGUGGCUAUGAUUCCUGAACUUGUGGUCUCCUCAGUUGAUGAGGUGAAGAAAGAAAGCCUGGAGAAUUAUGCACGAGCUUCUCACUGUCUCAGCCCACAAGUAACACACCUCUUUCCCUCACAGCCCACACUGGCUGGAACCAAUCACAUAGCCCUGCCUAACUGCAAGGGAGGCCAGAAAGUGCAACACUUUCUCAUGGUCACGGGUGAGCACGAAACAUCUCUCCAAAUAUGGGUUGGGAAGAUUAAGAGACUAGUCCAGAAGAAAACAGUCUCCAGGGAGAAAUAUAUCUGGGAAUAGGAAUCGAGAAAGCAACCAAGAGAGCAGAACUGAGUGGAUGAGAGGAACUGUCAGACCACAUCUGCAGCUCUGAUUAGUCAAAUCCGAAAUGUGCCUGUUGAUCUACUAUUCCGUGGAAAUACUGGAAUCACCAGCUCAAUAAUAAGAGGGCAUGACAGAGUCGUGGGAAUCGCUGGAACGUUUCUAGAGGCGCUGGAUCCAGGGCAAAAAUGAAGACAUAAGGGACCUUAGGUGACAAGGAAGAAGCUCCCAGGCAGCAUGUGGGAUGGACCCAAGGAGAACGUCAGAGAGAAAGAGUUCAGUCUGGUGUCUCCUGAAGCAGGUUAAAAUUAAGCUCGGCAGGCUCGACGUAAAUGUGCAGACAAAGCAAAGCAGGAAGCCUCCCACACUAAAAAGGGAAGAUAAGAAUCACAGAAGCUGGGAUGGUUUUUAUUGAAGGGCAUUUCAAAGCAAAUACAGACAUCUACAGCAUAUUUGUAAAUCCUCCGUAUGUGUAUGGAAACACACACCUUCACACAUCAAAACUGGAUUUGUUCCUGAGUAACAAAACGUCCUAAGAACAAAAUGAAAGAAAACCAAAUAGCAGAAAAAUACUUCCAAUGUAUAUACCACAAAGGAUUAUUUAUCAACUCAACACACCAAGAGUUAAGAAAAUAAUGCAACAGGAACAAAGGGCAAAGGAUAUGUACUGGGAAGACCACAGAGAAAGAAAAUGCAAAUGGCUAAUAAUAUAAAAUAUUUCCUAGGUUCAAUAGUAAUCAGGGAAAGACAAAAUUACACUUUUGACCUCUUAGACUGGCAGUGACAAAGAUUAUUUGAGUGACCAAGCUUUAGUCAGGCUCCUGGAUCUUCUAGGCCCAUCUGGGCACUUCCUCGUAAAAUACAGUUUUAACAAAAGCCCUGCUAAAUUGGUUUACCGAGAACUCCCACCCUCAAUCGAGUUCCUUAGCCCUUCACCUUUCCUCAGGUGAGGGCUGAUCAUCCUGUCCUGUCUUCAGCAAGACUGCUCUAACGCUGACGUUUCCUUUUAGUAAUUUUCCAUCCACUGACACCCACUUGUAAUUUAUAGCCAAGGAGCAAGAUACACUGCUCCUUGGCUAUAAGUUAUUUUCCCUGUUACAUUCAGAGUUGAGCCCAAUCCCACUCCCCGACUACAAAAUCGAUAGCAGUGGUCCCUAUACCUAUUGCAAUGGUCCUAAAUAAAACCUGCCUUACCGUGCUUGAACAAGUGUCAUCGAAU
rnacentral:lncRNA from 1 species